UAAUUGAAUGCUAAGAGAAUGGAAACCCAGAAAAUAACUUUUUUUAAAUUAAAAAUUGAAGUUUUUUCAAUUUGUGCAGAAACAAUUAUAAAUAUUAAGGACAAGAAGACCCUACGAAUUUAUUAAAUUUUAUUUAGUAUAUAAAUAAUACUAAUGAAAUUUUAGCUGGGGCGGCUAAAAAAUAUUUUAAACUUUUUAAAAAAUAAAAUGAUCCAUUAUUAAUGAUUAUAUGAUUAAAUACUCUAGGGAUAACAGCGUUAUAUUUUUUGAUAGAUCAUAUUGACAAAAAAGUUUGCGACCCUCGAUGUUGGAUUAGGAUACUUUUUUAAUGCAGAUAUUAAAAAAGGAAGUUUGUUCCACUU
rnacentral:rRNA from 1 species